UGGGGAAUAUUGGACAAUGGGCGCAAGCCUGAUCCAGCCAUGCCGCGUGAGUGAUGAAGGCCCUAGGGUUGUAAAGCUCUUUCACCGGUGAAGAUAAUGACGGUAACCGGAGAAGAAGCCCCGGCUAACUUCGUGCCAGCAGCCGCGGAAAUACGAAGGGGGCUAGCGUUGUUCGGAUUUACUGGGCGUAAAGCGCACGUAGGCGGACUUUUAAGUCAGGGGUGAAAUCCCGGGGCUCAACCCCGGAACUGCCUUUGAUACUGGAAGUCUUGAGUAUGGUAGAGGUGAGUGGAAUUCCGAGUGUAGAGGUGAAAUUCGUAGAUAUUCGGAGGAACACCAGUGGCGAAGGCGGCUCACUGGACCAUUACUGACGCUGAGGUGCGAAAGCGUGGGGAGCAAACAGG
rnacentral:rRNA from 1 species